UACGUAGGUGGCAAGCGUUGUCCGGAAUUAUUGGGCGUAAAGCGCGCGCAGGCGGCCUUUUAAGUCUGAUGUGAAAGCCCACGGCUCAACCGUGGAAGGUCAUUGGAAACUGAAAGGCUUGAGUACAGAAGAGGAAAGCGGAAUUCCACGUGUAGCGGUGAAAUGCGUAGAGAUGUGGAGGAACACCAGUGGCGAAGGCGGCUCACUGGCCCGGUACUGACGCUGAGGCGCGAAAGCGUGGGGAGCAAACAGG
rnacentral:rRNA from 1 species